UACUAGGAUAUAAUCAAUAAGCACGGUGGUUGAGGCUGUGAACGAACAUAGCUACAGUGUAAUUACUGAAAAUAGUAAUAUAUAUAUAUAUGUGUGUGUGUAUGUGUGUGUGUGUGUGUGUGUGUGUGUGUGUGUGUGUGUGUGUGUGUGUGUGUGUGUGUGAGUGUGUGUGUGUGUGUGUGCGCGUGUGUGUGUGAGAAAGCAAUAGAGGGAGAUAUACAACAAUAGACAACGAGAAGGGAAUAAUAGAUACUGAGUGGUAAUAUAGUGCACGGGUAGUUACCUGCAUAACUUUAUAUUAUCUUCGCAAGUACGUAGAGGCCCAGUGGAGAAACCACAGCCUGUCUUUGCUAAAUGAGGACACUGAGUCUCGUUCACCUCCACACCUAAAAUUUUAAAAUUACUUUUGAUUUUGUAUUGGCACAUAGGGGCUUCUGGUAAUUUCUUUCCAGUAUUUAUAUCUGAGUAUAUUCCAGAUAAUCAAGAAUAAUCAGAGAGACAGGAUGAGGGUCAUAUAUGUUGAAAAAGAAGGUAUAAUGAGAUGAUGUAACUUCUUCAUAUGACAGCCGGUGCAGCUUUAGUUCUUCCUCCAAAGUUUCUGCAUCUGAGAAAAUGCAAAAGGCCCCUGCGAUAAAAGGAAAUAAUGAAUAUUUUUAUUGAAAGCCAGAUCAAUUUGUAGUUGAAAAGCCCAAAAUUAUUCUACUCUCCGUCAGUGUACCCAUAUAUAACUGGAGAAUAUAACACGCCCAGAGGAAAUCAGAAUAUUUAGUAGGACAUCGUUUUUACUGAACACAUGCGGUGACACAGAAUGCACUGCUUGACGCAACACAAACAAAUGCAUAAUAUCCUGCCCGUAAAUGUCAGCUGGAGGAUGGGUCAUUGAAUAAAGAUUUGCACCAAACCCAUUUUCCGAUUCUCUCAGCAAUUACAAACUCAACUUAUAAUUCCUGACGCGGGUCCAGUGAAAAUUAUACCGGAAUGGCAAUCCAAAUGACAUGCACUCAAAAUUAAAAUUAUCACUGAUACAAAUUAAUUGAUUCCUGACCGAAAUUCAAUAUAAAGAUAACAAGAGUAUAAUCUGAAUAUGUAGAUUUUGAUAUUUAAAACUGUGUCACACAAAUAUCGUUUUUUUUUUUAAAUCGUUCGUUUAUCAUGAGAUGAUUGGUCAUAUAAGGUUAUAACAUCAAUGAAAAUUACAGAUCCGGAUGCAACGUUCCUUUUAUUUAGUUCUCCUUUAAUAAUGUAACCACAAUAGCAGCAGGCAAUACUGUUUGAAAGGACAUCUGAAAAGAAAACGGA